rnacentral:rRNA from 1 species
GAUGAACGCUGACAGAAUGCUUAACACAUGCAAGUCGAUGGGGAAGUGGUGCUUGCACCAUGGCAACCAUGGCGGACGGGUGAGUGACGCGUAAGGGACUUACCUGCAGGACUGGGAUAACAGGGGGAAACUCCUGACAAGACCGGAUAAUGUCAUGGAGCUGCAUGGCUUUAUGAUGAAAGGAGACGCCUGCGGAGAGCCUUGCGUCCUAUUAGCUAGUUGGUGAGGUAAUGGCUCACCAAGGCGAAGAUAGGUAGCCGGCCUGAGAGGGUGGACGGCCACAAGGGGACUGAGAUACGGCCCUUACUCCUACGGGAGGCAGCAGUGGGGAAUAUUGGACAAUGGGGGCAACCCUGAUCCAGCAAUUCUGUGUGCACGAAGAAGGUUUUCGGAUUGUAAAGUGCUUUCAGCAGGGAAGAAGUAAGUGACGGUACCUGCAGAAGAAGCGACGGCUAAAUACGUG